CAUACAAAAACACUUAAAUGAAUGAUAUUAGAAAAUAUGUCUGCUAUACUGUUUUCCUGAGAAGAAUGGGAUUAGACUAUGAAUUUGCAAAUAUCUGCAAAAUUUCUAACAUUCCCUGGAAUAUGGUAAUUCGUUAUUCACUUAUUUGCCUACUCUCUAUUUUCCUUUCUCCUUUUUAGUUUGCUUACAUCUAUUUUCACGAUGACCUAGUAUUACUCAAACAUCUCUAAAGAAAACAACCGUCUAACCGUAAUGUGAGGCCACAGAAAUCUAAAGGCAAGUAGCAAAUUGAAUUUAAAACUUCUGGCAGCCUCACUAAGAGUUAAGAGGUGAUAAGAAAUUACUUUAUUCUCACAUCUUCAAAAUGUUAACAGCUUAUAACGUGCCACUAGGCACAUUUCAAGUGCCCCUCAGCUGAGACACAGGGUCACAAUACUGGUCAGCACAGCUUUAGGAAGGCAGAAGGGAGAAGAAAGAGCUCUCCUCACAAGUCAUAGGAAACCAUGGUGCAGGCAGGAGGCGCCUCCGAGAUGAGCUGAGAACAGAAAUUUUAGAGACUGUGUUCAUCCAGAUUUCUGAAAUCCUCGUCUGGAUCUGGCAUCCCUCACCGGAAGUCCUGGGAGUCUGGAGUAUUGUAUUGCUGUUUCAGUUUCUAUUUCUCUUUUUAAUAUGGCCAGUAACCCUUUCUUCAUUGAGGACACAUUACAGUUUUGAAUGAAGAAGUCAUAUCAGCUAUUCAAAUCCUGUCAGCUGUGACUGCUGAGCUCUUGGCUGUACCGCUGGGCUCUGGACUUGGGGAUUUCAAACCCACGGGGCCUCGCUCUGAGUUGGCAAGCUUAGACAUUCUUAUCAACAAAGGAACAGACGAUCAUCAGAGUCAUCCGGUGCUACCCACUCAGCCCCCACGCUGGGUACAUGAGAUUUCAACUGGUGGCCCCUACCUCUGGAUGUCAUCCACGAGUCGGGCCAGCUGCUGCUGCCUUCCCACAGGACUGAGCCGAGUCUCUUCAGCUACUGCCUUCAUCAGGCGGAAAUCUGAGGUUGCUUGGCUGCUCAGGCCUGGGAGAGGCAAGCAAAGACUAACAAGCACUGGCUGAUUUAGGUCAGAUAAGGUGAUAUCAUAUUGCUGUAAAAUACAAGAUUAAUGACGGAGUAGCAAACACAGAUACAGAGCAGAGGGGCAUCCUUGGUUACAAGCAGCACAAAUCCCCAAUGUUGGGGUGUUGAAGAGAUGGAGAACAGUGAAAGAAAGAAGAACCCACAAAGUAGCCAAAAGCAAGCUCCAUCUCUUUCAGCGUGGAAUACCAGAAUGCAUUCCUCCUGUCUGACUGUGCCUUCUCCAUCAGCCAACCUCUCACAUCUCUCUCUACCCUGCCACUUCUGGCUUCUGGCAACCUCUGCUCUACUGGCUAAGUCAGUGGAUCCAACUGUUUCCUGUUCCAAAGAAGAACUGUGUUGUGUGUCCCUUUCGUGCUGCAUUUCCUUUAUUCAACACAACAGUCUCAGGGAUAUGAUGUAUAAAUGUCCCAAAUAAACAUCAUGGAGAUAUGUAAUUAUCUAUUCAUGAGAAAACAAAAUAAUUACUGAUAAAUAAGAGAAACGAAAAAAAGCUGCAUAGGCUGAAAACGGUUGCACAGUUUUGACCUUCACAGAGCUAUUUCUGUAAUGACAAAGCCAGAUGCAUGACCAGUGACACCCCCAGAAGGAAGAACUUCAGAGGACUUGAAAUCAUCACAGCCAUUUUCCAAAAGUGGCUAAGGAAGAAGGCACUUGUCCAGAAGAUGUGUGAGGACCAAGGAUACAAGUCUCAUUUUUGAUUUUCAUUUCCUCUGUGAGAUUUGAGAGGGAAGACACUUCUGCCAGACGCCUGGAAGGCGAGGUCCACACAACUGUGGUAAAUGAACAAGGGGCUUCCAGGGACAGCAAGAUUGCUCUUGAGUGUCUGCCAUGGGAUAGAACUCAGCUAAUAACCCAAGGUUCCCCUUUUUGAAAUAGUUCAAAAUGUGACUUGAGGAGACAAAUGUUCAGGGGGAGGGUGCACUGCUCUUGCCCUGCUCCCAACAAUGAGGCCAGAGUUCAAGGAAUGCACACCUCCUGGAGGCACCUCAGACUCCCAGGGGACUUGCUGCCUGGCUGGGAACUGAAGGCUGUUCACUGCUCGCCUGAUUUAAAGGGAUAUCCAAGAAGGGGAAGCAUGCACAUGAACAUGCAGGGGGAAACAGAGUUGAACCACAAAAGGCCAAGAGCACAGGGGUGAGUAUGGGCGGGGCACGGGGGAGAUUGCUGUGACCAGACCAGAGCAUCAUGAGGAACUUUACAACUGACUCCUAAGACAAUGAACUCCUGGAAACUUUAAAGCCUGGGUGUGACAUGAUCAGUCUGAUGUUAAGGCCAAUCACUACAGAAGAAAGAAAAUAGGAAAUGGAGUGAGGAGCUUAGUCAAGCCAGAGACAAUGAGGGUGCUAGAGGGACAAGCAAGAGAGUGAGUAUGUGUGAGGUAGGCUCACCCUGACAGGGGAAUUUUCUGGAAGGAAUAGUGUUGUGGUCUACACCUUCAAACUCCUGUAUUUGAACAUUUGAUACCCAACUGGAAAUGUUGUUUUAGAAGGUGGUAGAAGCUUUAGAAGGUGAAGUAGAUCAUUGGGCGGGACGGGCAGUCCUGAGGCUUUAGGUCAGCUCCAUUUCUGGUCACUCUAUGCAGUGUGUCCAGACAGUUUCCCGCCUCCUCACUGGGGUAGAAGGAUCCACUGGCACUAUAAACCAGAAGAAACCAGGCCCCCCUUAAACUGUUUGUUGGAGAGGUCACAACCACAAGAAAAGUGACUACAACAGAGAAGGCUGUCUCUAGGCUAAGAUAAAAGAGACAAGAGGAACCACUCCUACCUGCUUGUAGUAAUCCACAUAUGUGACCUCUGAGCCGUCCCGCUUCUGAAAGGCCUGUGUGGGCUUCACAGACCAGUCAAUGUCAUCGAUACGAUAUGUUUUGUUGUUGUAUCUGGUAAAGUUGAGACACUUAGAAAGCACUUUGCCAAAUCACCUUAGGUACAUGGCUACCACACCAAAAUCUUGAGUAAAUUAAAAUUACAAGAUCCACGCCUGACAUUAUGGAAGAUACUACAUGCAUAGUCACAUCUUUAUGCGGCAGGAUCAGCUCUCAACAGAGAAGAGUGUGAACGCUUCAGUACACAGGAAGAUCUCCACAUUCCAACAGACAUAUUCAGCAAGCCGCACUCCACAGUGCUGGACUCAGCUAGACUCUAGCCCUAGGAUCUGGACUGCAUAGAUGCAAAGAGAGACCCAUCCCUCCACAUGACGUGGGAUGCUGCAUUAAGGAGAUUCCUGGCCUCAGAUGACUCACACAGAAAUGGCAACAGCUACAGAGACCUCACCAAGGUCAGGAUGAGCUGUCUAUACACAGGAGCAGGGGGGACAUCCUGCUCCCAGCCCCACAGGGACUACAGACAAAGGAUGUGGCCAACAAUGGCUGUGAGCUGAAGGAGUUGGCAACAGGCAGUCUGGGAAACUGUAUUUCUCAACAGCUUCCCAACAUCAAACACUUUCCCGCUUGUUCCCCCCUCAGCAAACACCAACUGCUCCUGUACGUCCGCCAUCUGUUCCUGGACCAACACCCUCCAGUCCCCAGGCUGGAACCUCCACGUGCACAUUUCUCAUCCCCUCCCUUCCCCCACCACCUGAGCAAGCCCCAGGUCUCUGUGCACUGACACAGCAAUGUCUCAGUGAUUUCCGCCGUUCUGAUGCUACCAUGCUGGAGAGACUCUGGCAGCUGCCUCUUAUAGUCCACUGUGAGACCCAGAGGAAGCUGCUUCAACGCCUGAGGCUUCCUCACCAUCUCUAAAGCGGGAGCGAAUCCAGCUGCUCCCACAAAGGUCAAAUAGAGAGCAAACCUUUGGAUCUUUCUUCAAGCCCUUUUGACCCGUUGCUCAGGCUACUCCAUUAAUUAGUCUUCCCACCCCUUUCAGGAUGUGACCCGGACACUCUCCUGGAGGGUUUCGUGCUCUGAAAGAAGACAAAUUCUUCUUCCUACCUUCAGUGUUCAAAGGACAUUUAAAGUUCUCCCUCUUUCCAGGGCUAUUUCUACCCCCACUAACUAACCCUCUAUGACCAAAUGUUUCUCAAAUGUUCGCCUCACUUCUCACUCGGCCAGGGCCCUGACCACUGUCCAUCUCUGUGCCCCUGAGAUCCUUCCUAAGACGCCAAUCCUCUCACCAAGACUCCUGCUAGGAAUGCUCCCAUUUUUCACUGUGCCCUGAGAUCUGAUUUUGUGGUAAGAUCCCCUCAAGCUCUCUGAGUGACAGUAGGGUUAAAACAUGUGGUGUCAUAUUGAAGAGCCUGGCAGGGCACAGGGUGAACAAAUGUAGUGUGGCAGUCAUAUGUAACAGCAGCACAUAGGAUAAUCCUGUGACACUGAUGUGAAGACCUGCCAGGCAUAGACCUCUA